CCGGGCCGGCCGCCGGCCGCCGGGAUUGUCUCGCAGUGGGCGGACUCGGCGUUGGCCGUGCCGGGCCCGCCGGACGCACACACCCGGCUCCUCGACAUGGACGAGUCGCUGCGGCUGCUGGCCCGCCACGGCUGCCAGCUCCAGGUGGAGCGAGACGCUCAGAUGACCCGCCGCGUCCUGCCGCCUGAGGUGGAGGCGGCAGAAAUGGACGUGGAUACGCCUGCUGAUAGUGACGCGGAACAGGCAGACGAGGCAGGCUUGGGUGACGCCGACGAGAGGUGACAGAGCGCCGCCGCCGCCGCCGACCGCCACCGCUGUGAUAUUAGCGCGCUACGCUCUGUAGAGGUGCCCGGCCGACCCGGGCAGCCGGCGGGUGCCGUGACAUCAGCUGGCUCAAGCAGCACGCCGCGGCCUCCCUGGCGGUGUUUGCCCCAUCCUGAUCUGUCACAAUUUUGUGCACGACUUCACAUGUCAGACGUGUCUGCCGCGCAAAGGCAACGGAACGUAUCUGCAUUUUCUGUGAUCUGCAUUAUCCGCAUUGUCUGUUUCAGCUGAGCAAAAAUCCAUUUUGACUGAUCACCAACCGUAACCCAUAUGACAGAUCAAGAUGUAAUUACGUUUGGCGGAUGGAACAAGAAGUUGCGAUUACUCUGCAUGCCUUGCAGCGAUUGUUUGAUACAACUGUGGCACAAAUAGUAAACAUAUCUGUUUGGAUUUCGUCAAGAUCGGCCCACCACGUUACGUUGGCGAUGGGAUAGAACCGCAACGAAGCAAAACAGCAAAGCGCCUUUUUAAACGUUUUUCGCGUUGUAUGAGCCUUCCGAAUUUCUGGUAGACACAUUGGUAUGCGCUUAUUGUACGUAGCCGAUGAUUGUGUAUGCCUUGCGUCUUGUAGGAAAUCACUGAAACGGUUACACGAACUGCAGCCGUGCACGUUGUUUUCCAUGGCAUUUAGUCGCAUCGCAAAUGAAACCCCUGUGCUGGCGAGGUAUCCUUUGCUGGUGUGAUUCCGUUUUCUUUCUAAAGGCGUGUCAAUCAGAACACUAUAUCUCAACAACACCAAACAAGUAGCAACAGCAUUCCAUACAAACAACCCGCGGCUUAAAAGGCAGUUGGAUAUGUCUAUACCGGCACAUGACGGGCCUUUUCGGUUCCAGUAGUGCUUGGAAAGCGUCGCUGUCGCCCACAGUACGUCUUAAGGAGUGCUUUUCUGAGGUGUGUGCUUACAAAUAUUCUACUUAGUGUUAUACUUCGAGCACUUUACUUAUUAUCGUGCUUGCUCCACUCACGAGCUGUUACAUUAUACUAUGCAUACUUCUGAAAGCCUGACGGGGUAUGUCUACAUGCAGUGUCCCGUGGACCAAAGGCAAAUGCUCACGCGGCUGGUAAAUGGACCCGCAGGCAGUCGUGAACACGUCCGAACUUUAAUGCAAUGUCCGAUAUUUCUGACGGGCCUUUGACAAGGAACGCCGUACUCUAACCCCAGUUUUAAACGAGCUCACGAGCUCGGCGCUUACACUGCUCAGAAUAAAGGCAACGGCCAGACUACUCAGAACCAGCUGUGGAGUACCUCUAAGGCGCUUAGGUUUCCUACCUAGGCCUUUGCGCCAGCCUUUAGGCGUUCCCAAAGACGAUGCUUCUGCACAGCUGCGAGGACAGGAGGGUGUCUCACCCUCAAUCUUUCUCAAUCCUUCUCAAUCAAGGAUCUCAAUAUUUGCCCGCCUGACGCCCCCUGACAUCGUGCACUUCUGAAGAGGACAGGACGGAUCGGAGGUCCUGCUUAGAACGUGUUUGUAUAUAAUAGCCGAGAGCCUCUGAAAUACCGCCACCGCGAUGCUUCCUCGAUAAGGGCGCUGCUCAUGAUGCGGCUGGUGUUUUCUGGUCUGUCAAAUCAUUGAUAUUCCUGGUCUCGGAGCAGGAAUAAGCCAUGAGGC